AUUGAACGCUGGUGGCAGGCCUAACACAUGCAAGUCGAGCGGAGCGGCGGACGGGUGAGUAAUGCCUAGGAAUCUGCAUGGUAGUGGGGGAUGACGACCGGAAACGGGCGCUAAUACCGCAUACUAUCAGAUGAGCCUAGGUCGGAUUAGCUAGUUGGUGGGGUAAGGGCACACCAAGGCGACGAUCCGUAACUGGUCUGAGAGGAUGAUCAGUCACACUGGAACUGAGACACGGUCCAGACUCCUACGGGAGGCAGCAGUGGGGAAUAUUGGACAAUGGGCGAAAGCCUGAUCCAGCCAUGCCGCGUGUGUGAAGAAGGUCUUCGGAUUGUAAAGCACUUUAAGCGGGGAGGCGUUACCAGCAGAAUAAGCACCGGCUAACUUCGUGCCAGCAGCCGCGGUAAUAC
rnacentral:rRNA from 1 species